ACGGAAGGCAGCAGUGGGGAAUAUUGCACAAUGGGGGAAACCCUGAUGCCGCGACGCCGCGUGAGCGAAGAAGUAUUUCGGUAUGUAAGCUCUAUCAGCAGGGAAGAUAAUGCCGGUACCUGACUAAGAAGCCCCGGCUAACUACGUGCCAGCAGCCGCGGUAAUACGUAGGGGGCAAGCGUUAUCCGGAUUUACUGGGUGUAAAGGGAGCGCAGGCGGUUUUUUAAGUCUGAUGUGAAAGCCCGCGGCUCAACUGCGGGACUGCAUUGGAAACUGGAGAACUAGAGUGUCGGAGGGGCAAGUGGAAUUCCUAGUGUAGCGGUGAAAUGCGUAGAUAUUAGGAGGAACACCAGUGGCGAAGGCGGCUUGCUGGACGAUAACUGACGCUGAGGCUCGAAAGCGUGGGGAGCAAACAGGAUUAGAUACCCUGGUA
rnacentral:rRNA from 1 species